GUCUAUGGCCAUACCACCCUGAAUGUGCCCGAUCUCGCCUGAGCUCUGGAAGCUAAGCAGGGUCGGGCCUGGUUAGUACUUGGAUGGGAGACUUUGAAUUUUGUGAGUUUUUAGCA
ensembl:rRNA 5S_rRNA 5S ribosomal RNA